CAAAAUUUCCAUUAUUCUUUGAAAAAUUAUCCUUUUAUUUGUUUUUAUGUUUAUCUCCUCAAAUAUUUACAUUUUCUAUUUUUUUUUUGGGGGGGGGGUUCCUUGUCCAGCUUUUACUAUACUUAUUUGUCUUUUCUUGUUUAUAGCUCGUUAUUUUAUUGAUUAGAUAUGGAUUUUUAAAUAUUUUGGCCUCGAGCAUCACUAAAGACACAUUGAUUGGCGAAAUGCGCAUCUAGUAUAGAAACAUUGGGACCGUUUGUGCUACUAUUACCACUGGGUCGAUGCUUCUGCUUGUGGACUGAUAGUCCUCGAGAUGGCAAGUAUAAUAGUACUGGCAUGAAAAUACGGAUUUUUUUAUAAUAGAAUUUGCUGUUACAAAAUUUGGGAAAUAAUUAAAAAAAAACAAGGAAUGUAUCUCUCUCAUACAAAGCUCUGAUUCAUAACCCGGC
rnacentral:lncRNA from 1 species